rnacentral:misc_RNA from 1 species
GAUGAAGAACGUAGCGAAAUGCGAUAAGUAAUGCGAAUUGCAGAAUUUCCGUGAGUCAUCGAAUCUUUGAACGCACAUUGCGCCCGCCAGUAUUCUGGCGGGCAUGCCUGUUCGAGCGUCAUUUCAACCAUCAAGCCCCAGGCUUGUGUUGGGGACCUGCGGCUGCCGCAGGCCCUGAAAACCAGUGGCGGGCUCGCUGUCACACCGGGCGUAGUAGAUUUUAUCUCGCUCAGGGCGUGCUGCGGGUUCCGGCCGUUAAAAAGCCUUUUUUACCCAAGGUUGACCUCGGAUCAGGUAGGAAGACCCGCUGAACUUAAGCAUAUCAAUAAGCGGAGGA